UGAGAUGCAGCUCAGCUUGUAGAGUGCUUGUCUACCGUGCAUGAAGCCCUGGGUUUGAGUCCCAGCAUCAUAU
rnacentral:tRNA from 1 species